rnacentral:lncRNA from 1 species
UUUUUUUUUUUUUUUUUGAGACAAGAGUCUCGCUCUGUUGCCAAGGCUGGAGUGCAAUGGCAUGAUCUCGGCUCACUGCAUCCUCUGUCUCCUGGGUUCAAGUGAUCCUCGUGCCUCAGACACCAAGUAGCUGGGAUUAUAGAUGCGUGCCACCAUGCUGGCUAAUUUUUAAAUUUUUAGUAGAGACAGGGUUUUACCAUGUUGGCCAGGCUGGUGUCAAACACCUGACUUCAAGUGAUCCACCUGCCUCGGCCUCCCAAAGUGCUGGGAUUACAGGCGUGAGCCACCACAGCCAGCCAAGACCUAAGAUUUUUUAAAAUUACAGUUCUUAUUUAGGUUUCAUUUCAUUUUACUUUUUUGAGAUGGAAUCAUGCUCCGUCGCCCAGGCUGGAGUACAGUGGUGCGAUCUGGGCUUACUGCAACCUCCGCCUCCCAGAUUCAAGCGAUUCUCCUGCCUCAGCCUCCUAAGUAGCUGGGAUUACAAGCGUGUGCCACCACACCCAGCCUAGGUUUCAGUUUAAAAACCACAUUUUUACUUUAUCUCCAAGACUUGAGUUUGUAGAACUCCUUUUCUAUGCCUGACAUGGGUUGAAUUAGGCAAGAUUAUCCUGGGAUAACAAGCCAACCUGAAAGAAAAUGACAAAGUGUCAGUUCUUUUCUGGUUUGGCAGUGCUGUGUGCGUCUGUGGAAACGUCUGCAAAGCUAGAGAGAGAGAAAUGCGCAAAUGUGUGGAAGUGGCGUCCUCCCCCGUCAAACCUCUGGGGGAAGCACUGUGCAAGGUCUGGUGGACCUCUCCCAGGCCCUGCUUUGCACACUGUCACCGUGUGGCUCUGCACGGGGGCUGGGGCAGCACUGAGGGUGGCUGUUCCUGGAGGACGUGUCUGUCUUCCUUGCUCCUCGUCUACCCACAGGGCCUUAGGGGCUGAAAACUCACUUUUUUUUUUCCCCUAAAGGAUGUGAUGCCUUUUUUUUUUUUUUUUUCCUAGACUGAGUCUUGCUGUAUUGCCCAGCCUGGAGUACAAUGGUGUGGUCUCAGCUCACUGCAACCUCUGCUUCAUGGGUUUAAGUGAUUCUCCUGCCUCAGCCUCCCAAGUAGCUGGGAUUACAGGCAUACAGGUACCUGCCACCACAUCCAGCUAAUUUUUGUUAUUUUUAGUAGAGACAGGGUUUCACCACGUUGGCCAGGCUGAUUUCAAACUCCUGACCUCAAGUGAUCUGCCUGCCUUGGCCUCCUAAAGUGCUGGGAUUACAGGCGUUAGUCACUGUGCCUGGCUGAGGAUGUGAUGCUGUCUUGGCGACCAGCUGUAUGGUACACAGAGAGGUGUCUCCACUCUGUCCCCCACCCCGGCCUCUUCAAAUCCUGACAGAGGGUCAAUGACAGCUCUUCCCUGUGGGAUUAAGCCUUCAUUUUCAGUGGAUGACGAAUCCUUUUCCCUCUCCACGGGAGCUUUACAUCUCUAAGAAAUCUCGAGUUGGAAAGUAAGCGUCUGGAAGGGAAUGUGCCACCUGUCGCCCUCCUGGUGUUCUGGAAACCUCAGCAGGGCCACUCCUGCUCUCCUUCCUGCUCAUUUCCCGGCAUCCACACAGGGUGUUUUCUUCUAAAGAUCUUGCUGGCACUUGCUGAGCCUCAUGCUGCUGCAGCCAGCCAGUGACUCUUGCAUCAGUGACUGGCACACAUCUCCCUCUGCCCACCAGGUCUCAGAGGGUCACUGCUCUCAGCUCUGAACCAGCCCUGGCUUUGGUCGCUGGUGUGUGGCACAGAUGCAGGCGACAUGGAGCUUCAUAGUAGUCAGAACAAGCCCUUCCCUGCAGCAGCAUCAUGGUCAGAGGCUGUCUUUGUCUGGGUUCCCCUAAGUGGGGGACAGACCUUGAGAUGAGGAUCUGCAAGUGGUUUAUUGGGCAGAUGAUCUGGAAACAUAGGUGGUGGGUGGGGAGGUGGAAUGGGAAGACAGGAGGCGGAACAAUAGGCAUGACCAAGAAGGUCAGGACAUAGGCAGCUGGAGCCGUCCUGCGGGGGAUGCCAGGAGCCAGUGCAGAACACGUCCUGAAGUUGUCCUGACUGCAGAGUGGAGUGGCUGGAACAUUCACCCCACCCUGUCACUGCUGAAGGCUGUCCCCACACAUGGGUCAAGCAACUCUCGUAGCCGGAAAGAGCCAUUAGCAGGUGAAAGUGAGGCUGUUUGCCUCAGUGGCCCACUGCUUCUCUGC